CUUUUGCUCCUUUUAAAAUCAAGUUGCCUGUUUUCUUAUUGUUCAGUUAUGAGAGUUCAUUAUACAUUCUGGAUAUGAAUCCUGUGUUGGUAACAUGGUCUUGUGGCAAUCAGCGAAAGCUCCCUGGAAGAAGUGUCCUUUGAACUGAUCCUCAAGAACCAGAAGGACUUCCAGAAGCUGAGAUGGUGGUGGUGAGGAGGCUGAGGAACCACAGAUUUUGUCUGAAAGCUUGUUAUUUCUUUCCUCUUCCUCGUUCCAUCCCUCCCUCUUCAGCUGGUAGUCUCUUCUCCCAGAGUCUCUCUUUCCUUUCCCGACCUCCUCCUUUUCCCUCCUCACCCACUGGAUGCCUCCUUCUGGUGUCCUUGGCCUCACAAGGUCGCUGACUGCUGGGUUAUGAGGCGCUCCUCUCGGGCUGCAGGGUCACCUUGUCGCCCCUCGAUGGGGACUCUGUACCGGUUCCAAAUGGAGGCGGGAUGCUGUAUCCAGGAUUCUUCCCUUGCCGUUCAGGGAGAGAUGGAUUUAGUGCCGGUCGCUUUCACCACAAAUUAUCGAGCGGGCUUCCAUGUGGAUGUCAGGCCUGUGUUAGGGCAACAGCUGUACCAGCUCGACCUUGUUCAGUUAAUAAUUUACUGCCGGGAAAUGGGAGUUACAUGGGCCAGAAGGCAUAUUUUGUGUGAACCUUGGGACACCUCUGACAGCAAUUUGUGUAAUUUGUCCGGGAAGAGCCUAAAGCUAUCUGAAUUCUAAUGUUCUGCCUGUCACACUGACCCUUAGACCCCUUUUAUUAACAUGGUUGGCUUUGAUUUAUAUUUAUUUUAUUCCUUUGGUUUCUCUUCUGAUCUCAUGACUGGAGCAGUGGUGAGUGUGGAAAAUGGCUGUGUGAGGAAUUAUGUUCCCGGUGUCCUUAUUCGAAGAAAUCCACCAGCAGCUGUGGUGUGGGUUUUCUCUGUUUGUAUGUAAAAGGAACUCAUACUUGAUUUAAAGCUCUGCUAUUACCAUUUUUGGAAUUCUUAUUAAUUUAUGAACAAUGGGUUGCCAUGUUGUAUUAGGUCCUGAAAAUUAUGUACCUGCUCCUACAGCUAUGCCUUGGUUUUUGAUGUUGAACUUCAGUGUCCCUUCAAGGUCAUUGUGUCCUUUCUCCUGCUUCCUGGACCAUCCUGAAAUUGUGUCGAAGACCCUCAGGGAGCCUAUGGUGACUCUUUCCAAGAAUCAUACAACCCUACCAGUCAAAAUAUCUUAAAACACAGACACAGGGCUGGGAACUGGUGUUUCUGCUCUCUUGGCAUCCCAGUUUCUCUACCUAGAAGAUUCUUUCCAAGACUGUUCAUCACUGACUCCACCAGCUUCUAGAAAACUGCCAUUUCCAAAGAGGCAACUGUCCAACCUGAUUUAGGAUCAAGCUUCUUCCAAGUUCUCAUCUUGGCACCUCUUGAUCCACGGUGGAUGGAAGCUCUUGCAAUUUAAGGAACAAAGCCAGUUUCUCAGCUCUCCGGGUUUGAGGUGAUCAACCGAAGGACAGCUGCACUGCUGAAGCAUUUAGCCUCCACUGCCCAGUUGCUCUGCUGGAUUGCUGACUUGAAUGACCAAAUGCUCAGAGCUGCUCUGAGACCUGGAAUAGGUCUGAGUUCUCAUUAGCCUGAAAGCCCAAGGGGAUCUCAGGGUGAUCUCGGCUGACCUGGAAGAGUCUGACUUAUGGAACAUUUAUCUUCCCAUGGCAAUUAGUCUAUUUAUUUCCUAAAGAUUGGGUCUGGUUGGAAUCCAGCCAGGACCUCCAGUUGUCCAAGGCAGAUCUGAGUUAAGAGAUUUGCACCUAGCUGAUUCUGCCUGUCCAAAAGGAACCGAAGCAUCUGUUGUGUGCCUGGGGAGUCAGUGACAGAUGCCUCCUAGGAGGUGCAGGAAGAGCUCCUGCAACUUCAGCUGGAGAUUCCCUAAGUGACAGCAACGUCUCUGCCUCCAUUAACAUUUUGAUCUAAUUUCUGCAUGUGAUUUCUGAACUGGUAUUCUUCUAGUGACAAGGGAAUAAAGCAAUGACAGGCCUCAAUCAUCUUCAUGUUCUCCCUGGAAGAAAUCAUGUUUUCUGCUCCUGAGAUUGUCUACUAAUAGAAGGGCAGGGUUUUCACCUCCACAGGACUUAGGCAGUGGAAUUCCUCCUGCUUCCUUGAAUUAGCUUCAUAUGGCAUUAAAAGUAGCAAAAAGGGA